CCUCAGCAGCAUAAACAGUUUCUGGGCUUUAGUGCAGUCUGUUAUUGCUGCAGAAAGAUGGAGUUUGCUAUAGGCAAAAUGUUUUUUCUUUUUUUGUGCUGUUUUGCCUCUGGGUUUGGGUAACGUUGCUUUGGUCAGUGAGGCUCUUUGUCACAAACUCUGCUGCGCUGAGAACUGCCCUUGAGAUGUUUGGUUUCUGUCACAGUCACUGUGUGUCUCUUUGGAGCAGGACACAGAAGUGCCUGAAAAAUACAGGCCUCUGUGAUCAGUAUCAAAGAAGUGUCUCCCAAUCACCAGAGUGAUGACAAACCCUGGGAGCAGCCCAUGCUGCAAAACUGAGAGACUUUUCCAACAGGCUGGAGCUGCUGCGUUCCAAACAGACCUGGAGAAAAUGUGUUCUCACUUUUGUAUCUGUGUGCUGAAAAACUGGAACAUUUCUCCUUAAUUCAGUGUCAUUCUGAUGCCUCAGGCAACUGCUAGAGUUUAUGCUUUUAAUCUAUUUAAUGACCUCUUCCCAUCACUCUUACCAGAAAUUUUUGUAAGAAGAGAGGGUCUAUUUUCACCUUGGAGAUGGUGUUCACUCCUCAUUCCUGCUUCAGCUCAGACUGUUCUAGUGAAAUCAGUCAUUUCCGAAUAAAUUUAGGUUAGAGCCAGCAAAGUAAUCAAGGACUCCUAAGGCAGCAGUGGGUUCACCUGUGAAGUUUAACACCUCCAGCACUCUUCCAGCACAACCUUUUGUGCAGAAUAACCUGAGCCUUCCAUGCAAGGAGGUUAAUGGGAAGAGCAGCUGUUCCUCAGAUCCUAAAAAUGCACACAUGGGCUUUGCCAUGUAGCUGUGAGAGCUGUGGGUCAGAGUGUGAGUGCCCCACAGCUGGGGGCACUUGGCAGGCUGCUAAUUCCCUCCUGUCAGCUGUCAGCAUUUCUAGCACUUUCUGAGCCACAAUCACAGUGGUCCCACUGUCAUUUCCUCUGUCUCCUCCAGGGUGAAGGCAAUUAGAUUGGAAUAAUUCUUUUUGUUGGUACCAAAACAGAACAGCUGGAGGGCAUGGUCAGAACACCUGCCAAAGUUCCUGCCUCUCUCUGGGGUUUGGGUGCCUUGGUCCGUUUGGACUGUGCAGCCUCAGAGCCCCUCGGAGCUGCAUGGCUCUGGUCAGUGCAGUGUCCUGCGAGAUGGCACAUGGAGGCUGGGAUCCCGGCCUGCCUGUGGAGGCACUGGUGUGGCACAUUCUGUUGCUGCAGCUCAUGUGGGGUGGGGAAGGAGGACAUCCAUGGCAUCUGCUGUGGCACCUCCCUUGCAGCGUGGCCCAGGGAGGAAUGUCCUACUGGGCUGAGCUCUGUGGAGGAUUUGCACGCUCGGGGACAGCCCAGGGGGGCUCUGCCUUCCCCCCCCAGCGCAGUGACAUGACACACUUGCUGUACUCAUUCUGCAGCCCAUUAAGAUGGCCUGGGUAGCAUUUGGCAAUUAACAGGGAUGACAAUGAAUGUUCAACAAAAGAGACAUCAGCACAAUAUACACACGGGCAAUUUGGAAAUUACAUCUGUGCCUUCAAAUGGACACAUGGAUUGCUUGGGAGCUCUGAAGCCAAACAUGCAGGAGUGUGUGCACAUGAGGUUUUGCCUAAGGUUGCUCUGAAGGACUUGUUCCAACAUGUACCGCAACUGCCUUCUCAGAGCACUAAUAGGAACACAGAUAAGUAUCUGAAUUGCAACACUUUGUGCUCAUAAAAUUAAAGCUUAUUAUGCUGAUUAAUGACUAAUGAAAUGCAUGCAAAUAAAAAGUGCAAAGUUCUCCUCACUCCUCAGUAUUGCUGCUGCCCCACUUUGAGCCUGCCCUGAGCUUUGACACCUGACACUACAAUAGUUGUAUUUCUUAUUCCUGCUUUGCAAUGGUUUGGGUUUUCUAGCUCUGUUCCUCCAUGUAAGUCUGUUGUCUCAGUAAGCAAGUGCCAGUGAUAACCCAGGUGCAGAUCUUGUAAUGCAAACUUUAAAAAGGAAAGAAUCCUCAAACUGGCAUUUUCUUCCUAGGUCUGGUAAGAAACCAUCUAAUUUUAGUCUGCUUUUUGUCUGUAAUGAGUGCUUAUGCCAUGAUUAAGAAGGGGAUUUUGUGAGUUUAUUGGUGGUUUGUAUUUAUUUUGUCAUAUACCAUAACAUGCAAUAAACCAUAUUAGGAAGCUGAUUUACAUUGUAGAUGGAAACUCAUUAAGUGUAUAAACAUUAUAAGAACACCUUGAUAAGAAAGCCACAGAUGUGA